GAUGAACGCUGGCGGCGUGCUUAACACAUGCAAGUCGAACGGAAAGGCUCCUGCUUGCAGGGGUACUCGAGUGGCGAACGGGUGAGUAACACGUGGGUGAUCUGCCCUGCACUUCGGGAUAAGCCUGGGAAACUGGGUCUAAUACCGGAUAGGACGAUGGUUUGGAUGCCAUUGUGGAAAGUUUUUCGGUGUGGGAUGAGCUCGCGGCCUAUCAGCUUGUUGGUGGGGUAAUGGCCUACCAAGGCGUCGACGGGUAGCCGGCCUGAGAGGGUGUACGGCCACAGUGGGACUGAGAUACGGCCCGGACUCCUACGGGAGGCAGCAGUGGGAAAUAUUGCGCAAUGGGCGCAAUCCGUAUGCAGCGACGCCGCGUGGGGGAUGACGGCCUUCGGGUUGUAAACUCCUUUCGCUAGGGACGAAGCGCAAGUGACGGUACCUGGAGAAGAAGCACCGGCUAACUACGUG
rnacentral:rRNA from 1 species